UGAGGAAUAUCGGUCAAUGGACGCAAGUCUGAACCAGCCAAGUAGCGUGCAGGAUGACGGCCCUAUGGGUUGUAAACUGCUUUUAUAUGGGGAUAUAGUGGGGAACGUGUUCCCUUUUGCAGGUACCAUAUGAAUAAGGACCGGCUAAUUCCGUGCCAGCAGCCGCGGUAAUACGGAAGGUUCGGGCGUUAGCCGGCCUUAUUGGGUUUAAAGGGUGCGUAGGCCGUUUGGUAAGCGUGUUGUGAAAUGUAGGCGCUCAACUUCUAGAGUGCGGCGCGAACUGUCAGACUUGAGUGCGCACAACGGAGGCGGAAUUCAUGGUGUAGCGGUGAAAUGCUUAGAUAUCAUGAAGAGCUCCGAUUGCGCAGGCAGCUUACGGGGGCGCAACUGCCGCUGAAGCUGGAAGGUGCGAGUAUCGAACAGG
rnacentral:rRNA from 1 species